UAGGGAAUCUUCGGCAAUGGACGAAAGUCUGACCGAGCAACGCCGCGUGAGUGAAGAAGGUUUUCGGAUCGUAAAACUCUGUUGUUAGAGAAGAACAAGGACGUUAGUAACUGAACGUCCCCUGACGGUAUCUAACCAGAAAGCCACGGCUAACUACGUGCCAGCAGCCGCGGUAAUACGUAGGUGGCAAGCGUUGUCCGGAUUUAUUGGGCGUAAAGCGAGCGCAGGCGGUUUCUUAAGUCUGAUGUGAAAGCCCCCGGCUCAACCGGGGAGGGUCAUUGGAAACUGGGAGACUUGAGUGCAGAAGAGGAGAGUGGAAUUCAAUGUGUAGCGGUGAAAUGCGUAGAUAUAUGGAGGAACACCAGUGGCGAAGGCGGCUCUCUGGUCUGUAACUGACGCUGAGGCUCGAAGGCGUGGGGAGCAAACAGG
rnacentral:rRNA from 1 species